GAUGAACGCUGGCGGCGUGCCUAACACAUGCAAGUCGAGCGAAGCGCUUAAAUUAGAUUUCUUCGGAAUGACGAUUUUUGUGACUGAGCGGCGGACGGGUGAGCAACGCGUGGGUAACCUGCCUCAUACAGGGGGAUAACAGUUAGAAAUGACUGCUAAUACCGCAUAAGACCCCAGCUUCGCAUGAAGCGGUGGUAAAAACUCCGGUGGUAUGAGAUGGACCCGCGUCUGCUUAGCUAGUUGGUAAGGUAACGGCUUACCAAGGCGACGUACAGUAGCCGACCUGAGGCGGUGACCCGCCGCAUUUGGACUACGACACGGCCCCGACUCCUACGCGAGGCAGCAGUGGGGAAUGUUGCACAAUGGGGGAAACCCUGAUGCCGCGACGUCGCGUGAAGGAUGAAGUGUUUCGGUAUGUACACUUCUAUGAGCAGGGAAGAAAGUGACGGUACCUGACUAAGAAGCCCCGGCUAACUACGUG
rnacentral:rRNA from 1 species